ensembl:scaRNA
GUGGUCCGGGGAACGGCGCCUGUGUUGUCGCACCUGCCCAGUGGCCUGUGCAGCCCGUACCAGGCAGCCCCACCCUGACCUAGAGUAAGUCCCGGGGAGCCCUCCCGGGUCGGAAUCUGCAGUAACAGGUGUGAGCACUCUGGCAGCCGCUUGGUGGUCAUGUAUGAUACUGCAAACAGGC